rnacentral:tRNA from 1 species
GCCGGUGUAGCUCAAGUGGAUAGAGUGCCUGCCUUCUAAGCGGGAAGAUGCCCGUUCAAGUCGGGUCACCGGCC